ACAGGCACGGCCAGUUUGAGC
rnacentral:miRNA from 1 species